UACAGAGGGUGCAAGCGUUAAUCGGAAUUACUGGGCGUAAAGCGUGCGUAGACGGUUGCGUAAGUCAGAUGUGAAAGCCCCGGGCUCAACCUGGGAAUUGCAUUUGAAACUGCGUAGCUAGAGUUCGGUAGGGGAGAUCGGAAUUCCUGGUGUAGCGGUGAAAUGCGCAGAUAUCAGGAGGAACACCGGUGGCGAAGGCGGAUCUCUGGGCCGAUACUGACGCUGAGGAGCGAAAGCGUGGGGAGCGAACAGG
rnacentral:rRNA from 1 species